rnacentral:rRNA from 2 species
CUAAUACAUGCAAGUCGAGCGAACAGAUGAGAAGCUUGCUUCUCUGAUGUUAGCGGCGGACGGGUGAGUAACACGUGGGUAACCUACCUAUAAGACUGGGAUAACUCCGGGAAACCGGGGCUAAUACCGGAUAAUAUUUUGAACCGCAUGGUUCAAUAGUGAAAGACGGUUUCGGCUGUCACUUAUAGAUGGACCCGCGCCGUAUUAGCUAGUUGGUAAGGUAACGGCUUACCAAGGCGACGAUACGUAGCCGACCUGAGAGGGUGAUCGGCCACACUGGAACUGAGACACGGUCCAGACUCCUACGGGAGGCAGCAGUAGGGAAUCUUCCGCAAUGGGCGAAAGCCUGACGGAGCAACGCCGCGUGAGUGAUGAAGGUCUUCGGAUCGUAAAACUCUGUUGUUAGGGAAGAACAAAUUUGUUAGUAACUGAACAAGUCUUGACGGUACCUAACCAGAAAGCCACGGCUAACUACGUGCCAGCAGCCGCGGUAAUACGUAGGUGGCAAGCGUUAUCCGGAAUUAUUGGGCGUAAAGCGCGCGUAGGCGGUUUCUUAAGUCUGAUGUGAAAGCCCACGGCUCAACCGUGGAGGGUCAUUGGAAACUGGGAAACUUGAGUGCAGAAGAGGAGAGUGGAAUUCCAUGUGUAGCGGUGAAAUGCGCAGAGAUAUGGAGGAACACCAGUGGCGAAGGCGGCUCUCUGGUCUGUAACUGACGCUGAUGUGCGAAAGCGUGGGGAUCAAACAGGAUUAGAUACCCUGGUAGUCCACGCCGUAAACGAUGAGUGCUAAGUGUUAGGGGGUUUCCGCCCCUUAGUGCUGCAGCUAACGCAUUAAGCACUCCGCCUGGGGAGUACGACCGCAAGGUUGAAACUCAAAGGAAUUGACGGGGACCCGCACAAGCGGUGGAGCAUGUGGUUUAAUUCGAAGCAACGCGAAGAACCUUACCAAAUCUUGACAUCCUUUGACCGCUCUAGAGAUAGAGUCUUCCCCUUCGGGGGACAAAGUGACAGGUGGUGCAUGGUUGUCGUCAGCUCGUGUCGUGAGAUGUUGGGUUAAGUCCCGCAACGAGCGCAACCCUUAAGCUUAGUUGCCAUCAUUAAGUUGGGCACUCUAGGUUGACUGCCGGUGACAAACCGGAGGAAGGUGGGGAUGACGUCAAAUCAUCAUGCCCCUUAUGAUUUGGGCUACACACGUGCUACAAUGGAUAAUACAAAGGGCAGCGAAUCCGCGAGGCCAAGCAAAUCCCAUAAAAUUAUUCUCAGUUCGGAUUGUAGUCUGCAACUCGACUACAUGAAGCUGGAAUCGCUAGUAAUCGUAGAUCAGCAUGCUACGGUGAAUACGUUCCCGGGUCUUGUACACACCGCCCGUCACACCACGAGAGUUUGUAACACCCGAAGCCGGUGGAGUAACCUUUUAGGAGCUAGCCGUCGAAG